CGGGGGCUUCGAGUUGAAGUAUUCGGCCUUGGCGUGGAUGGCCGCUUGCUUCAUCAGUUCGUCAUACGUGCGCCAGUUGCUGCUGUGUAUUAGGUAUCGGAAAUGUGAGGACCGAAGGCCACUCUUAAAGGCGCCGUAGGCUGCCCUAUCGUCUGUUUCUGGACACCUUGAGUACUCGUGACUGAAACGCACCGCAUACUCUCUC
rnacentral:lncRNA from 1 species